AGUUUUGAGCUAAAUAUAUUUAUAAUAUUAGUUAUUCAUGAAGGUGUUGUAAAAUCUUUAUUUAAAAUUAUAUUUAGGGGUGAUAGGCCUUUCAAAAACUAAGAUAUCUUGAAUCUAAUUAAAAGUAUGUAGUACAAUUAACACAACUAUUAAGUGAUUAGGCUUUAUAGAAUUAUUAACUUAUAAGAUUUUAUUUACUAUAAUUUAAUAAUUAAGUACAUAAAUAUAUUAAUAUUCAUAUAUUAUAGUUUAUAAAAGAGUAAUUAGAUAGAUUUAAGUUCAUAUUUCUUAUAAUAAUGUUAAUAUUAGUAUUAAGUUUAUAUUUAUAUGAUGAACUCGGCAAAAAUACUUUCUCAACUGUUUAUCAAAAACAUAACUAUGUGAUUGAAUACAUAGCGGUUUCUGCUCAA
rnacentral:rRNA from 1 species